GACGAACGCUGGCGGCGUGCUUAACACAUGCAAGUCGAACGGAAAGGCCCUGCUUUUGUGGGGUGCUCGAGUGGCGAACGGGUGAGUAACACGUGAGUAACCUGCCCUUGACUUUGGGAUAACUUCAGGAAACUGGGGCUAAUACCGGAUAGGAGCUCCUGCUGCAUGGUGGGGGUUGGAAAGUUUCGGCGGUUGGGGAUGGACUCGCGGCUUAUCAGCUUGUUGGUGGGGUAGUGGCUUACCAAGGCUUUGACGGGUAGCCGGCCUGAGAGGGUGACCGGCCACAUUGGGACUGAGAUACGGCCCAGACUCCUACGGGAGGCAGCAGUGGGGAAUAUUGCACAAUGGACGGUAGCCUGAUGCAGCAACGCCGCGUGCGGGAUGACGGCCUUCGGGUUGUAAACCGCUUUCGCCUGUGACGAAGCGUGAGUGACGGUAAUGGGUAAAGAAGCACCGGCUAACUACGUG
rnacentral:rRNA from 1 species